UACAGAGGGGGCAAGCGUUGUCCGGAAUUACUGGGCGUAAAGGGCGCGUAGGCGGCCUGUUAAGUCGAACGUGAAAUCCCCGGGCUCAACCCGGGAACUGCGUCCGAUACUGGCAGGCUUGAAUCCGGGAGAGGGAUGUGGAAUUCCAGGUGUAGCGGUGAAAUGCGUAGAUAUCGGGAGGAACACCAAUGGCGAAGGCAGCUCGCUGGGACGGUACUGACGCUGAGACGCGAAAGCGUGGGGAGCAAACAGG
rnacentral:rRNA from 1 species